rnacentral:misc_RNA from 1 species
CCUUUGCUUGGAGGGUUUCUAGGCUUUCCUUUCUUCAAUUCUUUCUUCUUCUUUUUACUCUCUAAUGUUUCCUCAACAUGUAAAGAGAAUUUUUAAUGUUGGGACUUUGUGAAUUUAUGGAAGUAAGUAGGGAAAUUUCAAGCUUUCUAAUCCUUAAAAAUGGUGGAACAAGUGAGUGAGAAUGAAGAGAGAGAUGGGGAGGCACAAGGAUGAGGAAGAUGACCAAAUGAUAUUUUUUUUUCUUUUUAUUUCUUUUAUGUAAUUUGUCUUAUGGAAGACCCAAAAAUCCAUUUAAUCAAAUUAUUAAUUAUGGGAUUUAUGGCAUCAUGCAUGAUG